GUGCCGGCUCUUCCCCACAGCGCCUGUGGGAGAGUAUUUUAUAGCCAGCGGGUGUAGCUCAGCCUGAGCGCUGCCGCCGGGCGUGUCCGAGCUCCCCGGAGCGGUGGGUCAGGGCAGCCACGCCUGCCCGCGGGUGUCGGUGCUGCCCCGGCUGAGGAGCCACGAGGGCAAGAACAGGCCCGAGGUUUUGAGGCCCCGCGGUUUGUCUGUUCUGGGAGCUGAGCUAGUGAUGAUAAAGGUUAUCCCUGUCUGAAACUGAUCUUUUCCUCUGUGGAAGUAUCACUCUGAGGCUCGGCGUUAAAGACGCAAAGGUAAAGGAAUGGUUUGCUACAUGAACUAACUCUGUGCUGUUCCUCCCUUUCAGAGCCUGGCGCGAUGUCAGGAAAGGAUUAAAACACUUAUCUGGCUGGGGACCUGAUUUAUCUACUGGACUGACAGCACAGCUGCACAGUGGAGGAAAUGGUCCUGCAGAGUCCUGGGGCUGCUGUUGCCCAAACACAGCUUUGACAAGAGGGCAGCUGCUAAGCUGGGCUUAAGCUGCUCUAGAAGCAACAGCAUAAAGAUUGUUUUGGACUGAGUGUCACAGAUGGCCACUGAUAAGUGACUUGUGUAACCACAGGCUCCUCCUCGCUGCUCAGGGGUUGCUGCAACCACACCAUAGGAUCUGACCUACAGGUGGCUGGAUGAAAAAGUGAUUCCCUGGUUUCUUCUGUUCCAGAAUAAAAUAAAUUUAAAUUAUGGGAAACCUUGUGAGUUGAA